GCAUGAAGUUGGAAUUGCUAGUAAUCGCGGAUCAGCAUGCCGCGGUGAAUACGUUCCCGGGGAUUGUACACACCGCCCGUCACACCAUGAGAGUCGGGAACACCCAAAGUCCGUAGUCUAACCGCAAGGAGGACGCGGCCUAAGGUGGGUUCGAUAAUUGGGGUGAAGUCGUAACAAGGUAAC
rnacentral:rRNA from 1 species